rnacentral:rRNA from 1 species
UACGUAGGGUGCGAGCGUUGUCCGGAAUUAUUGGGCGUAAAGGGCUCGUAGGCGGUCUGUUGCGUCGGGAGUGAAAACUCAGGGCUUAACCCUGAGCCUGCUUCCGAUACGGGCAGACUAGAGGUAUGCAGGGGAGAACGGAAUUCCUGGUGUAGCGGUGAAAUGCGCAGAUAUCAGGAGGAACACCGGUGGCGAAGGCGGCUCUCUGGGACGGUACUGACGCUGAGACGCGAAAGCGUGGGGAGCGAACAGG